AUUCACAUCCUUACGGGAUUGCAAUGAGAACAAUUUAAAUCACUUAACGAGGAUCAAUUGGAGGGCAGGUCUGGUGCCAGCAGCCGCGGUAAUUCCAGCUCCGAUAGUGUAUAUUAAAGUUGUUGCAGUUAAAAAGCUCGUAGUUGAACUUCUGGCAGCGCGCACUUUCGGCUUUGGUCGGGGUGCGUUGCUGUCAUCCGUCUGCAAACUUCAUACAACCUUGAGUGGCUUGGUGAGGGGAGUAGACAUUUUACUUUGAAAAAAUUAGAGUGUUUCAAGCAGGUUAUUGCCAGAAUACUUUAGCAUGGAAUAAUGGAACAGGACUCUUGUCCAUUUGGUUGGUUAUUGGACCAGAGUAAUGAUUAAUAGGGACAGUUGGGGGCAUUAGUAUUUAAUUGUCAGAGGUGAAAUUCAUGGAUUUAUUAAAGACUAACUUAUGCGAAAGCAUUUGCCAAGGAUGUUUUCAUUAAUCAAGAACGAAAGUUAGGGGAUCAAAGACGAUCAGAUACCGUCCUAGUCUUAACUAUAAACGAUGUCGACUCGGGAUUGGAAGGGUAUUUGUAUCCCUUCCAGCACCGUAUGAGAAAUCAUUAAGUCUUUGGAUUCUGGGGGGAGUAUGGUCGCAAGGCUGAAACUUAAAGGAAUUGACGGAAGAGCACCACCAGGCGUGGGACCUGCGGCUUAAUUUGACCCAACACGGGAAAACUUAUUUCGGCAAAACAUGAGUGGGAUUGACAGAUUGAGAGCUCUUUCUUGAUUUUAUGGGGUGUGGUGCAUGGCCGUUCUUAGUUGGUGGAGUGAUUUGUCUGGUUAAUUCCGUUAACGAACGAGACCUUAACCUGCUAACUAGUCGUUGUGUAAAACUACGCGACGUUACUUCUUAGAGGGACUAUGGGUAACAAGCCCAUGGAAGUUUGAGGCAAUAACAGGUCUGUGAUGCCCAUAGAUGUCGAAAGCGGCACGCGCGUCAUACUGUCCAGUAACAGCAAGUUUUACUUCCUCUACCGGAAGGUUAGGGGUAAUCUAUAAAACUGGACGAGGUAGGGAUAGAUCUUUGGAAUUAUAGAUCUUGAGCGAAGAAUGCCUAGUAAGUGCAAGUCAUCAACUUGUGCUGAUUACGUCCCUGUCCUUUGUACACACCGCCCGUCGCUCCUACCGAUUUCGAGCGAUAUGGUGAAUCUCCUGGACCGUGGAGCUCCUCCGUGGGCUUCGUGGAAAGUUUAGUAAACCUUAUCGCUUAGAGGAAGGAAAAGUCGUAACAAGGUA
rnacentral:rRNA from 1 species